rnacentral:ncRNA from 1 species
CCCAGAAAAGGUGUUGGUUGAUACAGAUAGCAGAAUGGUAGCCAUGGAAGCUGGAAUCCACUAAGAGUGCAUAACGACUCACCUACCAAAUCAAAUGGCCCUGAAAAUGGAUGGUGCUGGA